CUCUGAGAGUGUCAGAUGUGCUUUGGCUAAGCUUACAGAUGGUUAGUCGGGAUUAACCAGGCAGCAUGACUAGGCAGUGCCUCCUGGAGCACACGCAGAGGAGAAGGCCACUGCUCUUGGGAGCAGCAGCUGCUCCCCGUGGGGCAGCCCAACAGGCCCUGCACUGUCGCCCCGGAGGAACGGACAUCCCCCACCCCGAGCCUGAUUGUCUUCUCACAGCUGCGUCUCCAGAAGGCAUCUGGGCAGAGGAGUCAACUUUCUCUUCCCAAUGAAUGGACAGUAGAAGAGAAGGCUUAAUGUUGGUGGAAAGGAACAGGGGCAUGCCUGAACCCCCUUUAAUUUUCUUCAAGGUCCUCUAAAGCAGGAGUCGGCAAACUUUCUUUAAGUCAGAGAGUACACAUUCCAGUCUUUGCAGGCCAUAUGGCUUCUCAUGCAGCUACUUAACUCUGUCAUUAUAGCACGAAAGCAAUAAUAGAUGAUACAGAAAUGAGUGAGCAUGGCUAUGUUCCAAUAAAGCUUCAUUUAUAACAACUCAACAGGGAAUGAGUGGGUUUGGUCUGCAGAUUACAGUUUGACCACCCCUGCUCUGGACUAACGGAGAGAUCGCAGAACCAGAGGGGUUCCACGACCUGGUCUAAGAGUUGCCCUCAUUUUGGAAAAGGCAGUGAGGUUUGUGGAGGUGAAAUAUUUGCUCAAGGUGACACUAGCAAUUAGAACCCAGAUGGAUAAAAUGAAAUAGGAAAAGAGGGCAGAGAGCUUACCAGAGAAGGAGCUAGUUGGUUGGCAUCCAUCACCUGACUUUUUUUUUUAACAUGAAAUCUCAAACAUUUGUUUGAGAUAUGUUUUGUAAAAUAGAGAAAACAGUAUGAUGAAUCCCUGUGUACCUGGCUUGAACAAUGAAGAAGCUCAUGGCCGAUCUUCCUUUCCACUUUGUGCCCUCUGGAAGCAAAUCCAUGAAAUCAUAGCAUUUCAACCUCAGCUUAAGUGACUGUCAGAGCAGAGUGCUAUUCUAAGGGUUUCCUAAAACACAGGAUGGGCCCCGGCCCUGCUUUCCAGGUGAGGUCUAGGCUGUUGCCUCCUUCAGCUUUCAGAUCCCAUAGUUUCCAGAAUUUGGCCUUGCCUGCUGCUGCCACUCCCUGACUUGCUAAGCUUCUGGAUUCUUUUGAGGGGAUUUGGGCUGCUAAAAACCCUUGAAAACUACUACUGAAGCUGGGUGGCUGCCUUAGCUUUUGGCAAAUUAAAGUGCCACUUGGCCACGAA